UACGAAGGGGGCUAGCGUUGCUCGGAAUUACUGGGCGUAAAGCGCACGUAGGCGGAUUGUUAAGUCGGGGGUGAAAUCCUGGAGCUCAACUCCAGAACUGCCUUCGAAACUGGCGAUCUUGAGUCCGGGAGAGGUGAGUGGAACUGCGAGUGUAGAGGUGAAAUUCGUAGAUAUUAGGAAGAACACCAGUGGCGAAGGCGGCUCACUGGCCCGGUACUGACGCUGAGACGCGAAAGCGUGGGGAGCAAACAGG
rnacentral:rRNA from 1 species